rnacentral:rRNA from 1 species
UUCCGGUUGAUCCUGCCGGAGGUCACUGCUAUCGGGGUUCGAUUAAGCCAUGCGAGUCGAGAGGGUUCAGACCCUCGGCGGACUGCUCAGUAACACGUGGAUAAUCUGCCCUAUGGUGGAGGAUAACCCCGGGAAACUGGGGAUAAUACUCCAUAAGUCAGGAGUACUGGAAUGUCUCCUAACUGAAAGUUUCGGCGCCAUAGGAUGAAUCUGCGGCCGAUUAGGUAGUUGUUGGGGUAACGGCCCAACAAGCCCGUAAUCGGUACGGGUUGUGGGAGCAAGAGCCCGGAGAUGGAAUCUGAGACACGAUUCCAGGCCCUACGGGGCGCAGCAGGCGCGAAAACUUUACAAUGCAGGAAACUGUGAUAAGGGAACCCCGAGUGCCCGUACACGCGGGCUGUCCCGGUGUUUAAAACACAUCGGAAGAAAGGGCCGGGCAAGACCGGUGCCAGCCGCCGCGGUAAUACCGGCGGCUCGAGUGGUGACCACUUUUAUUGGGCUUAAAGCGUUCGUAGCUUGAUUUUUAAGUCUCUUGGGAAAUCUCACGGCUUAACUGUGAGGCGUCUAAGAGAUACUGGGAAUCUAGGGACCGGGAGAGGUAAGAGGUACUUCAGGGGUAGAAGUGAAAUUCUGUAAUCCUUGAAGGACCACCGAUGGCGAAGGCAUCUUACCAGAACGGCUUCGACAGUGAGGAACGAAAGCUGGGGGAGCGAACGGGAUUAGAUACCCCGGUAGUCCCAGCCGUAAACUAUGCGCGUUAGGUGUGCCUGUAACUACGAGUUACCGGGGUGCCGAAGUGAAAACGUGAAACGUGCCGCCUGGGAAGUACGGUCGCAAGGCUGAAACUUAAAGGAAUUGGCGGGGGAGCACCACAACGGGUGGAGCCUGCGGUUUAAUUGGAGUCAACGCCGGG